GGCCACAUCGCAUAGAAACAGUGGUUCUCGUAUGAUCAAUGAAGUUAAGCAACGUCGAGCCUGAUCCGUACCUAGAUGGGUGACUGCUUGGGAAUACCAUUUGCUGUAU